rnacentral:pre_miRNA from 1 species
UGGACAGAUUAUUGUAUUCGACUGUAUUCGACUGUACAUGUAUUCACGGCGUGAAACAGGGGAUUACACUGUUUUUAAUCGGAAAGUGAAUCAAUCAACAUAAUAGGCUCCU